CCUACGGGCGGCAGCAGUGGGGAAUAUUGGACAAUGGGCGAAAGCCUGAUCCAGCCAUGCCGCGUGUGUGAAGAAGGCCUUCGGGUUGUAAAGCACUUUCAGUGGGGAAGAAAGCCUUGGGGCUAAUACCCUCGAGGAAGGACAUCACCCACAGAAGAAGCACCGGCUAACUCCGUGCCAGCAGCCGCGGUAAUACGGAGGGUGCGAGCGUUAAUCGGAAUUACUGGGCGUAAAGCGCGCGUAGGCGGUCUGAUAAGCCGGUUGUGAAAGCCCCGGGCUCAACCUGGGAACGGCAUCCGGAACUGUCAGGCUAGAGUGCAGGAGAGGAAGGUAGAAUUCCCGGUGUAGCGGUGAAAUGCGUAGAGAUCGGGAGGAAUACCAGUGGCGAAGGCGGUCUUCUGGACUGACACUGACGCUGAGGUGCGAAAGCGUGGGUAGCAAACAGGAUUAGAUACCCGUGUAGUC
rnacentral:rRNA from 1 species